rnacentral:lncRNA from 1 species
GGUACAAUAUAUUGUCACACGCUGACAUUAACAGUAUGCAAGAAAUCUCAGAAUUUUAGACAUUUGACAAUAAGAAGUUCAUAAUCAACAUUUGUACACUUAAGAUCCAAACAUUACAUGCUAAUCUGAAUUUUGUUUCGCAAGUAGGAAAUACCACUCUAGCAUUUGCAAAGUACAGUACCAUCUUUAGUACUGAUCUGAACAUAUGAUCCAAUCAGUAAACCCCAAUAUGAUCCAAACAUUACAUUUAGCAUUUGUACACUGAAUUUUCUUUAGAUCCAACAUAGUCUACUAGAUGUGCAAGAAAUGCAGAGGCAAUAGUUUUCUCUUCUCGGUCUUUAGCUCGAGUAUUGCUUUCCGCUGCUCCUCCAAGGUCAUCUCCUAUAUAAUGGUGGCCAGAGCACAUGUUAUCUCAUUAACAACAUCAGACAUGAGAAACACCAGAAAGACUGCAAGCAUGCCAACAAACUAAGCUGGAGAAACCAAAUUGCCAGUCACUUGAUCAGCUUUGCCAUAGCUCAGAAGCUCAACAACAUCGACAGGAAGAAAAACUACACACAUACACAGGAAAGUGCGCCACCUACCUACUUUUAAUUUCUACUAUCAGUCUCAGUUAUGAAAGCUCAUUUGUGGAUGAUAACAGGCAUAGAAAUAUGUAGCUAUUUUCUUCAGGUUACAACGCCACCAUUUCUGCAGCCAAAGUUUCAUCUAGUGGCACAACCCUAAAAAUAUCAGCCAAAUCGUCAGAGAUGGCACCACUGAAGAUCAUUCGUUAGAUAUUUUCUGUUAUCUACUCGUAUUUGUUUCACUUUCCUACUGGACUCAAGUCUUAAUCCAGUCAAUCUAAAGGUUAACACAUACACUGAUCAUUUGGGUGGAAUCUGUUUGUUUCUACCCGCAAAAAGAAAGUAUCCAUUUUAACGCUAGACAUAAUGGCGUGGUGUCUCUAAACCACAAUACCAUCAUGUCAGCAGCCAAAGUUUCACCACAAAAAUCUACAAUCAGCCACGACCGAGAACACAAGAAAUCUAUAAAGGAUCCUCGAAAAUCAUCAACUUGCCGUUAGCUACUGGUUUUCCACCAAAUCUAUAAUUGCUUUGUGUAUGUCAGUAGAAAAAUGAAAAGGAUGGUAGACAAAGGCAACUAACCAACAUAAAAUGAAGGUAGCACUGAUCAUGAAUACCUAGACCCUCCAUCCGACACCAGAGAGCCUGUGAUUCACAAAUUUGGACCAUCAAGAUUAAGAUCAUGAAGAAAUUUUCCAAAUCACAUAGUAUUUUGAUUGUUUGAAGCAGAGGCAAACUGAUCAUACCAUUUCCAUCAGAAGAAGUUGGAGUAGGUCUAUAUCCUGGCCUCAAAUGACUGUUGAAAAUGUAUACAUGUAUUACUAGCUAUACAUUGGAAUUUGUAAGUCCAUAUAUUCAUGAUGAGUAUCUUCAUUUUCCGUUACAGAAUUAUUAGCAAGAACUAUCGUGAUUAGAAGAUCUUGAUACCAAGUACACUGUUAUAUCUAAGCAAGCUGCAGGUGUAGGAGGCAUCAUCUAAAGUACCAGAGCAUGGGAAAAAUAACAUUACCUUGCAAAUGAUCUUGGAAAACUUGACAUCCUUUGUACAGUGUUAGACAUCAGCGAAC